AUACGUAGGGGGCGAGCGUUGUCCGGAAUGAUUGGGCGUAAAGGGCGCGUAGGCGGCUUUGCAAGUCAGUAGUGGAAGUCCAUUUUUCAAGGAUGGAAGUGCUACAGAAACUGCGGAGCUUGAGUGCAGGAGAGGUUAUCGGAAUUCCCGGUGUAGCGGUGAAAUGCGUAGAGAUCGGGAGGAACACCAGUGGCGAAGGCGGGUAACUGGACUGCAACUGACGCUGAGGCGCGAAAGUGUGGGGAGCAAACAGGAUUAGAUGCCCUGGUAGUCCUCACUGUAAACGAUGAAUGCUAGGUGUAGGAGGUAUCGACCCCUUCUGUGCCGCAGUAAACACAGUAAGCAUUCCGCCUGGGGAGUACGGUCGCAAGAUUAUAACUCAAAUGAAUUGACGGGG
rnacentral:rRNA from 1 species